rnacentral:rRNA from 1 species
UGGGGAAUAUUGGACAAUGGGGGAAACCCUGAUCCAGCCAUGCCGCGUGAAUGAUGAAGGCCUUCGGGUUGUAAAGUUCUUUUAGUAGGGACGAUGAUGACGGUACCUACAGAAUAAGCUCCGGCUAACUUCGUGCCAGCAGCCGCGGUAAUACGAAGGGAGCUAGCGUUGUUCGGAAUUACUGGGCGUAAAGGGCGCGUAGGCGGUUUAGUAAGUCAGAUGUGAAAGCCCUGGGCUUAACCCAGGAACUGCGUUUGAGACUACUAGACUUGAAUUUGGAAGAGGUAAGUGGAAUUCCCAGUGUAGAGGUGAAAUUCGUAGAGAUUGGGAAGAACAUCCGUGGCGAAGGCGGCUUACUGGACCAACAUUGACGCUGAGGCGCGAAAGCGUGGGGAGCAAACA